UCGUACUGAUUAGUUGAGCCACAAAGUUUUUAUUUAGAUUUUAAAAUUCUCACACAACUUUAAAGUAAAUAUUUGGCCCAUCAGCACUCUGAUUUAUUUCGUACAAAUCAACUAACAACACGCAGCCCAUAUGAUCAAGCCGGCCCAUUUCAUUUCGUUUAAAACUAACAUGUUUCUUCUUACCCUAUCUCCUUUUUGUUCUCUCCGCCGCUUCCUCUCUCUCUUAAACCUAUUUGAUUUUGUUCUGCUUUCUCUUUCCUAAUUCGUUGCUUACCUUCCUUUUCUCUCUUCAAAAAAUGGUUCCAAAUACAAAAUCAUUCCAUCUAGUUGAAUAUCUCAGCAAAAAAAGGGCGAGGAACUCCAGAAAUGUAAGAUUUGUUCGAAAAAUGGUGUACGCCGACGAUUACACAGGUAUGUUUUAUCAAUUCAAGGUUUUGGGUUUAUAAUCUGGAUUUUUUUUCAUGCCGAAAAUCGAUUUGUUGCUUAGUUGUAGUUGUAUUUCGUUUUCUUAAUUAUUGGUUAACUAAUGUAUUUGAAUUUUUAUUUGCAUGUCGUGUCCCUCCAUGAAUUGGAGAGAGCGGUGCAGGAGCGGUGGCGAGGCGCGCGAGGCGCUAGUCAAGGCGCUGGUCUAGGCUCUGUCCGAGGCGAUGGGAAAGGCAAUAGGCUCAAAAUUUAUGGUUUACCUGUCGCCUUGUUUAUGUUCCAGAGCCUGGGAAUCGGGAGAAGAUAUUACUUACGUGUAUCGGCGCGACUUGAAGAACAAUGAUGGAGUUUUUGGAACUCGUAUACUGAAUUACUGAUUUUCUGCAGAUUUUUUGUUUUAAUUUUCUUGGUCAAUUUGAUUUAAUUUGGCAAUUGUAAUAAUUUGUAAUAAGAUUUUCACAGCUGGGUCUUUGUGUGAUGUUCUUGGCUGGGUUUUGUGUGAUGUUCUUGGCUGGGUUUAUGCGUUAUUUUUUUAGCUGUGGGUAUAUGUGUUUUCUUGGCUGUGGGUUUAUGCGUGAUUUUCUUGGCUAUGGGUUUUAGCAAUUUUUCGUGGCUGGAUUUUUGGGUGAUACUUCCUUAUUUGCUUUUUAUUUUGACUUUAUUGACAGACUUUUCUAUAUUGGGAAUGAUUUCAG